CAAAAGCCUGGUCCUGACUUUAAUAUCAAUUAUGAUCUGAAUUACACAUGCAAGUACCCGCACCCCUGUGAGAAUGCCCACUAUCCCCUUGACCGGGGAAGAGGAGCUGGCAUCAGGCACACUUAAAUUAAUAGUAGCCCAAAACGCCUUGCUUAGCCACACCCCCAAGGGAACUCAGCAGUGAUAAACAUUAAGCAAUGAGCGAAAGCUCGACUUAAUCAAGACCGAACAGAGCCGGUAAAACUCGUGCCAGCCACCGCGGUUAUACGAGAGGCUCAAAUUGAUAUUCUCCGGCGUAAAGCGUGAUUAAAGGAUAGACGUAAAACUAAAGCCAAACACCCCCCUAGCUGUCAUACGCUAACGGAGGCACGAAGCCCCACAACGAAAGUGGCAUUAAAAACUCUUGAACUCACGACCAUUAAGAAACAAACUGGGAUUAGAUACCCCACUAUGCUUAAUCGUAAACAACGAUGGCAAUAUACAAACACCAUCCGCCAGGGGACUACGAGCAUUAGCUUAAAACCCAAAGGACUUGGCGGUGCCUCAAACCCACCUAGAGGAGCCUGUUCUAUAACCGAUAACCCCCGUUUAACCUCACCACCCCUUGCCAACCCAGCCUAUAUACCGCCGUCGCCAGCUUACCUCAUGAGAGAUUAACAGUAAGCCAAAUGGGUCGUACCCAAAACGUCAGGUCGAGGUGUAGCACAUGGGGUGGGAAGAAAUGGGCUACAUUUUCUGACCCAGAAUACCACGAAAAGUGCAAUGAAAAAACACAACUGAAGGUGGAUUUAGCAGUAAAAAGAAAACAGAGAGUUCUUUUGAAGACGGCUCUGAGGCGCGUACACACCGCCCGUCACUCUCCUCGAAACAAAAUAAACAAAUUAAUAAACACCUAACAAACUAAAGAGGAGGCAAGUCGUAACAUGGUAAGUGUACCGGAAGGUGCGCUUGGAAAAAU
rnacentral:ncRNA from 1 species